GUCCGUCUCUUGUGUCAUUAACCAGAUUAUGUUCAGCUGUGUACUCACCGGUCUCUCAUUACCAUCCUCAUCUGUCAGCAUAUUUAAGUCCUCUGUUUCCUUCUGUUCACUGUCGCGUCAUUGAUGUUGUUACUGCUGGUCCCGUGUGUUCAGUUCUGUUCAGUCACUUCGGUUCAGCCAGCCAUUUCAUUAAAUACCAUUAUCCUGCACCGUGAGUCCAGCGUUUGGGUCCUCUUCUCAUUCACACGCGAAACCCUGACAACAAGUCCAAGAUGUGGGAAAUGCUGUGGGGGGAAAAAAAAAUUGCUUGGACAAGAAAAUAACGUUUUACAAAGUGAUUCUGAAAGAGGAGGGGAUGGUGCACAGAGAGCUUUUAAGGACAAAAGCAAAAGAAAAGCUGACUGUUUUAAUGAACAAAAGAUGGUUGAGGAACGAUGGGAAGAGUUUUUUCAAUGCUGCAGAAGAAUUAAUUAAUAGAGAAGCUAAUUCACCACCUGAUUAAGUGGAUGAUGCUGAUGGAGCACGAUUACAGGACAUGGGAUCAUCCAACUCUGAGCACGAAAACUUACUGGAGGAAUUUUAAGCCCGACAAGAUAAAUUCACAAACAAGUUUGCUCACUUUCAGUGAGAUAUCCAAGAGAAAAAGAACAAUUGACCCAUCGAGUGAAAUAAGAAUUUCUUCUCCAAGCAGAACAUGGUGUAGAGAAACCCGUGUUGGCUAUCACAGUGGUUUCUUGGCUGCUGUUUGGCAUCUCAAUGGUUCAGCUCCCUCCACAGAUUUUCUACAGCACUGAGGUCGGGAGACUGGCUACUUCAUGACCUAAAAGUGUUUCUCCUUAACCAAGCCUUUAUUGUCAUUAUGUUUUUGGUCUACCUCAGUCAGGAGUUCGACGCAAGAGAUCUUGCAUCGAACUCCUGACUGAGGGUGACUGAUGUCUGUUACCACCACGUCACAAUGUGCAUAAAGUUAAACGAUUCAAACUAAUAAAACACAUUUUAAAAAGACUUUUUCAUUUGAUUACAUUUUAUAUGAUGGAUUAUGCAUAAAAGCCCUGGCUCCGACAGUCUUGGUCAUUGUGUCCUUGGGCAAGACACUUCAGCCGUUGCCUACUGGUAGUGGUCAGAGGAUCCAGUGGCGCC
ensembl:lncRNA